CUACGCUGCGAUAAGCCGUGGGGAGCUGCGAAGAAGCUUUGAUCCACGGAUUUCCGAAUGGGGAAACCCACCUUCGAUAGCCGGAACUCCAAGACCUUGUGUUUUGGGGUUCGACCAGAAAUGGAAGAAAUCAGACCGCGAGGUUUUGGAUUUCCGGUUAUCAAGAGAAGGUAUGAGACUUCCGAAUAAAAUAGGAGGUUUUAAGCGAACCCAGGGAACUGAAACAUCUAAGUACCUGGAGGAAAGGACAUCAAUCGAGACUCCGUUAGUAGUGGCGAGCGAACGCGGACCAGGCCAGUGAUACAUCAAAGACAAUCGGAACCUGUCAGGAAAGCAGGGCCUCAGAGGGUGAUAGCCCCGUACGAGUAAUGCGAUGAUGUAUCCACGAGUAAGGCGGGACACGUGAAAUCCUGUCUGAACACGGGGGGACCACCCUCCAAGCCUAAGUACUCCUCAGCGACCGAUAGU
rnacentral:rRNA from 2 species